rnacentral:rRNA from 1 species
AGGGUUUGAUCAUGGCUCAGGAUGAACGCUAGCGGCAGGCCUAACACAUGCAAGUCGAGGGGUAACAGGGGGUGCUUGCACUCUGCUGACGACCGGCGCACGGGUGCGUAACGCGUAUGCAACCUACCUUCUACAGGGGGAUAGCCCAGAGAAAUUUGGAAUAAUACCCCAUACGAUCUUUACUUGGCAUCGAGUAAAGAAGAAAACUUCGGUGGUAGAAGAUGGGCAUGCGUCCUAUUAGUUAGUUGGUGAGGUAACGGCUCACCAAGACAUCGAUAGGUGGGGGCCCUGAGAGGGGGAUCCCCCACACUGGUACUGAGACACGGACCAGACUCCUACGGGAGGCAGCAGUGAGGAAUAUUGGACAAUGGAGGCAACUCUGAUCCAGCCAUGCCGCGUGCAGGAAGACUGCCCUAUGGGUUGUAAACUGCUUUUAUACAGGAAGAAACUGCGCUACGUGUAGCGUACUGACGGUACUGUAAGAAUAAGGAUCGGCUAACUCCGUGCCAGCCGCCGCGGUAAUAC